UUUCUUUUCUCCUCCGUUUACUCGCCGUUUUUUCUCCAUUCUCCUCUUUUGUUCUGAUAUUUGCAGUUAAAGGUUCAGAUUAUUCUAUUUUCUAUUUCGUGUUACGAUUUCCAUGAUUCCACGUUGAUUCCUUUUUAUCUUCUUUAUAAAGACCAACAAAAACUUUUUCUUUACGAUUCUGCAAUUGUACUGUGCUAUGUAUAUUGGCGAAGGGAGUUACACCAAAAACAACACCAGUUCUAAGACCUUAAAAUUUCUCUGUAUAUUGGCGAAGGGAGGAACAAAUUUCACACUAGACUAUGCGUAUUUUGUGAUACAUUGGUACUGUGCUCGAAGAAAUAAGGUUGCAUUCAGGUCGUUUGGUCAGGGUUCAAAUUUAUUGUGCUGCUCAUGAGUUCCCUAAAGGCUGAGUAGAAUCAAUAAGGAUGGUCAUAAUGUAUGGUUGGGUGAAGCUGGAGGAUUGACAGAAGAUGAGCAAAAAGAGGGGCCAGAAGGAACAAAUUUUAUAUCAAUCCCACAAUUUCCAGUAAGUUAAUCUAG